UGUGUGUGUUCAUGUAGGCAGAGAGAGAACUCUUCCUCAUCAUCUCCCAACCACCAUUCCAAGUGUUUCUAAAUUCUGAGGAAGAGGAGCUGAAUAUAAGGUAGGCAGUAUGUUCUUAAGGGCAGCUGGCAGUGAUCUGCCCCUUUCCCCUCCCACUGGCACUGCCCACUGUUCCUGUGCUGCUCCUCCCACCCCUUCAGGCAUCCCUGGAUCCACACUGCAGGUAAACAGCUUGCAGCCUUCUCCUGAAGGUCCCAAAAGGGAUUUGAAGGCUUGGAGAUGAUGCAGUGCUUGGCAAAGAUAGGACUGGCACUCAAGGGGCCAUCCUGCAGCCUUCAAAGGAGAUGAUAUUCCCUAUGGAGACAUGCCUGCAUGCACCAGGAGCCCAGCCUGCAGCAAAGGUUUCACAGGGAACAUCUGGUCCCACUUGCCCAAGGAAUCUUUAUUGGGAGCACAGGACAGGUAUCAGAAGGCUGAAAUCUCUCUCAUGGCCUGGAGCCAGUCAGCAUCCUGAAAUGAAUUAUUUUGCUAGUGUCUGAUCCAGCUUUCUGCAAGUUUGGGAAAGUGUGGGCUAGGGAGCAGCUAACUCCCACCUGGCCAAGUCCCUUCUAACCCAAACCAUUCCAUGAUUCUAAGAGAAAAACUGGGCCCAUUCACUGCAGGGAGCUGCUAGCACACCUGACUCAGCCUUCCACAGACAUGUAUAUUUUUCCCAACCCUGGCAUAGCUUUAUCCUCUAUUUCUUUUUGGCACCCCAAAUAAAAUUACUCUCUCCUUAUGCAGAAGGCACCACACCCAUCCCUUCUAAAGAUUAAGGGUGGCCUUUUCCUCACCCCAGCACGGGGCAUCACCCCCCAGAUGGAGGGGAGGGAAGGCAAGGGCUGGCAGAAAUCUGCAUGCGCAGCCCUGUCCCUGGUAGCACAUCCAUUGUACAGACUGCCCUGAUCUGCCUCCAGCUGGAGAAAACCAACAGAAAAAUUGGCAGGAGGAGGUGACUGCCCUGGGAAGGGAAUUCCAGGACAUGAGAAGUAAGUCAGCAGAAGCCAGGGAAGCUCUGUCUGACAGCCAGGGGCUCCAGCAGCAGUGCAGCCAUCAGGAUACCCUACUCUAGAUCCUUUCAGGUCUGAAUAUUUAUUUUCAGUGAAAAUCAAACUAGGAACUAGUUAUCUAGAUACUUUUUUUUCCAGGUGAGAUGGGGAAGGGAGAGAGAUGCAUCAUUUAUCUCAUUCUAAAAUUAAAAUUUAUUCUCUUUCUGCCUGGCAGAUGCCUACAUUGGGUAAGAUGAGCUGCACUCAGACACGUACUUCUCUCUCUCUCCAUAAGCUGAUGCUGGGAUUGGUGAGCUGUGUCCAAAGGCACUUCUUGUUCUGCCUCCCCUACUUCUGCUGCACAAAGGGCAUCUUUGUUUCAGGUCCCCCUACAUAAAUAGUUAAUUUCCUCAAAGCCUAGGGAGGUUUGUGGGUGAACUGAGGUGGAAAUAAACCCUUAAACCAAUGCAAAGAGAAGUUACUGUUUUAUACCCCAUAAAUCAGGACUGGGAUGGUGGGUGUCAUCUUUUAAUCUGGAUAGGAUGAUAGAAGAGCUAAUAGAUCUGUAAUACUGCAUUUGGUAUUUGUUCAGAAUGGUGAUCAGAGUUGAGCAUGAAACUGAAUAUACAGCAAGAAACCUUUGAGGAGAGGGAUGAAAGGGCACAAGUCAACUCCAUGGACCCACAUGAGGGGACGAGGGGUGGCUGCAAAUGCCCACCUCAGAUAAGGUGGUAAGGGUAAGAACCAGGGUAAGAACCAGAUGCCUACAGUGCCAGUAUCCCAGCAGUCAGAAAAGGCAAUGCUGCUGUGGGAGCUGAGCACUGAGCUGCCAGCACAGCACCUGCACCAACCAGCCUGCCAGAUUAGUUUUAAGUAAUAUAUUAAAGUACCAAGUGCUUGUUAGAGCUCCAUUAGCCAGAGUUAAGGAUUAAACCAGCACUAGUGUUGUCUUCAAGGUCAUUCCCACCAGCAGCUAGUUUGGGGGCAGAGUCUGCAAUCCAAGCUGUUAACACUAGAAAACAAAUCUGGAGCAGCAGAAAGGGGAGAGCAGCCGGUGAGGCACAUCUGGGGUACUGCUGAGUACAGGCAAAGCUUUUGGGCCUGCCCUUGCUAACCACAGGCUCCUGUGCUUCAGCCUGCCAUGAGCACAGGGAAUUACACUCAGCAUGCCUGCAGGGAGCUGGGACCCAGCCAGCCCCGAGGCACCCCUUAACCCCCAGCCCACCGUGUUAACUCGGGAGCCACAGCCCUCCAGAGGGGUCACAGAAGGACUCCAGGGAGGCUGCCAGGGGUUUCCAUCAGCUCUCUGCCUGCAGCUGCUGACAGAAGCUCAGAGAAGCUGUUGGGUUUUACACCUCCAGUGUGACACCAGGGCUGCUCCAAGCUGAAGUGUGAGGUCCUUCAUCAGGUUUUGGCAGCAGCAGUACAAGAUUUGGACAUACAAAGAACAAGACCACCAACAGAGGACAGAGGCAGACCAGAAUCAUGGAAUCAUUAGGGCUGGAGAAGCUCUCUAAGGUCAUCAAAUUCAACCAUCCCCAAGUACUGCCAAGGCCACCACUAACCUAUGUCCCCAAGUGCCACAUCUGCAGGGCUGUUAAACCCCUCCAGGCAGGGACACUAACCCUGCCCUGGGCAGCUGUGCCAGGGCUGAAAAAAUCUUUCAGUGAGAGAUUUCCCCAAAACCCACCCUGAGCCUCCCCUGCCCAGCCUGAGGCCGUUCCCUCUCCUCCUGUCCCUGUUCCCUGGAGCAGAGCCCGACCCCCCCGGCUGUCCCCUCCUGUCAGGGAGUUGUGCAGAGCCACAAGGUCCCUCCUGAGCCUCCUUUUCUCCAGGCUGAGCCCCUUUCCAGCUCCUCAGCUGCUCCUGGGGCUCCAGCCCCUUCCCAGCUCCAUUCCCUUCUCUGGACACACUCCAGCCCUUCAAUGUCCAUCCUGUAGAGGAAAUAGGACACAGACUCACCAUCCUCAGACACUGUCCAAACCCUCCUGGUUCAAUCACAGCUCAGUCUUUUCUUGUUCCUCCACAAGUAUCACCUGCAGCAAAGAGGAAACAACACAGAGCAGAAGUUUAGCUUAUACAAAUUUAGUUAAGAGGUUUAAUUUACAGGAAUGGUACUCCAGAUUGAACAUAGAAGUGAAAAAAAUCAAGAUCCCUGAGGCCAGUGCCCAGUCUGUACCUAUCCUUACCAACCUCUGUUUUGUGCCCUUUCCAGGAGCUGCUGGAAAAUCAGGGGGAGACACCAAAUCAUUUUGGUCACUCACUAACACAGCACCCAGGACUUUUCACAGGAGCACACAGCAGCCUGUGCCCCACAGGUACAAAACCCAGUCUUUAGGGGAACACAGGAGGGAGCUGAAGGAAGACAGACUUGAUCAUUGUGGUUCAAGGACUGGGGGAAGUUCCUUCACAGGGAACUUGUGUGUUUGGAAAAGAUCACUGUUGUCCUGGGAGGAAAACACCUCUAAAUUCAAUCUGGUCUUGCCUAGGAGGUGGGGCAGGAUGCAAACACUCUAAAUACCAGGAAAAACCAGCAGCUCCUUCUGCCAGCUUUGCCUCACUUGAGGGAGGUCACAGGAGGAAUCUGUAGGAAGGGAAAAGCCAAGCAGCAAGACUUGAACGAGGUCCUUCUCCAAGAAGAUCUUUUCCAAAAGGACCAGAUGCUCCCACAGGUGAUCCCGGAAGCUCCAUGGAGGAACAGACCCUUCCUCAAAGUUUUCAGGUGUCUCCAAUACAAGAUAAGUUGAUCACCAACAUCUCUCUCAUCUGUCCACAUCUUGCCUCUGCUUUGCUCUUCCAGCCCCACAGAGGGGAUGGAAUUAUCCACAAUUAAACAUUGGGACCAGGGCUGAACCUUGGGCACCGCUGUCCUGGUACCACUCACCAGCCUGAGCAGCCUCCCACUGCCCCGCCCAUGGCAGAGAUGGGAUGGGCUUUAAGGGUCCUCCCCACCCAAACCAUUCUGUGAAGCAGCACAGAAAUCUGCAUGUGUGUGUCCCAAUGUUUUUUAAAUAAAAUGACAUUUUAAACAUGAAUCUUCUGUAUUUCAGUGUACAUUGAGGAUGGCUCAGAACUCACCAACGAAACCUGACUUCUGCCAGUCUUUAGCAUGUCAGAACUCUGGGAAUGCUCAAGGUCUUCUGUAAAUUUUGCCACCAUUAAUUUUAACCUUUCUCUUCCUCAGAUGAAAUAUGAAUGCCAACAGAUGUGCAACUGGAGAUUAUCUAAACAUCUCACACAACACACCCCAGCUGGGAAUCCCCCUCCUUCCGCCACUCAGAAAUUAUGUUGGCUACAGAAAAGCUCUGAAUACCUGCCCAAGGCUUUCCUUUGCCCAGGGAUUUCCUUCCCAGCCCAGAAUUAAGUCAGGUUUGACACCCACACGUCAGAAGGCCAAGCUGAAUGCCAGCACUGAGGAAUCA